GCGGGGAUAGCUCAGUUGGUAGAGCACGACCUUGCCAAGGUCGGGGUCGCGAGUUCGAGUCUCGUUUCCCGCU
rnacentral:tRNA from 1 species